rnacentral:rRNA from 1 species
UACAGAGGUCUCAAGCGUUGUUCGGAUUCAUUGGGCGUAAAGGGCGCGUAGGCGGUGAAGUAAGUCUGGCGUGAAAUCUAGGAGCUUAACUCCUAAACUGCAUUCGAUACUGCCGUGCUUGAGGACUGGAGAGGAGACUGGAAUUUACGGUGUAGCGGUGAAAUUCGUAGAUAUUGGGAAGAGCACCGGUGGCGAAGGCGGCGACCUGGUCCGAUACUGACGCUGAGGCGCGAAAGCGUGGGGAGCAAACAGG